ACAGGUGGGUAAUCUGCCUUCUGGAGGGGGAUAACGGCUGGAAACGGCCGCUAAUACCCCGUAAGGUUGCGAAGCUUCCGGGCUUCGCAAAGAAAGGGGCCCUUAAAGCUCCGCCGGAAGAUGAGCCCGCCCCCCAUUAGCUUGUUGGCGGGGUAACGGCCCACCAAGGCAACGAUGGGUAGCCGAGCUGAGAGGUUGAUCGGCCACACUGGAACUGAGACACGGUCCAGACACCUACAGGUGGCAGCAGUAGGGAAUAUUGCGCAAUGGGCGAAAGCCUGACGCAGCCAUGCCGCGUGGAUGAUGAAGGCCUUCGGGUCGUAAAGUCCUUUUCUGAGGGAAGAAAUGCCGGAGGAGGAAAUGCCUUCGACUUGACGGUACCUCAGGAAUAAGCAACGGCUAACUCCGUGCCAGCAGCCGCGGUAAUACGGAGGUUGCAAGCGUUGUUCGGAAUGACUGGGCGUAAAGGGAGUGCAGGCGGCCAGGUCAGUCUGAAGUGAAAGCCCGGGGCUCAACCCCGGAAUUGCUUUGGAUACUGCCUGGCUUGAGUGUGCGAGAGGAAAGCGGAAUUCCAGGUGUAGCUGUGAAAUGCGUAGAUAUCUGGAGGAACACCGGUGGCGAAAGCGGCUUUCUGGCGCAUAACUGACGCUGAGGCUCGAAAGCGUGGGGAGCGAACGGGAUUAGAUACCCCGGUAGUCCACGCCGUAAACGUUGUGCACUAGGUGUGGGAGGUAUCGACCCCCUCCGUGCCGGAGCUAACGCAUUAAGUGCACCGCCUGGGGAGUACGGUCGCAAGACUGAAACUCAAAGGAAUUGACGGGGGCCCGCACAAGCGGUGGAGCAUGUGGUUUAAUUCGAGGCAACGCGAAGAACCUUACCCAGGCUUGACAUCCCGAGACCGCCAUGGAAACAUGGUUUCCCCUUCGGGGGCUCGGUGACAGGUGUUGCAUGGCUGUCGUCAGCUCGUGUCGUGAGAUGUUGGGUUAAGUCUGCGCAAAGAGGGCAACCCCUG
rnacentral:rRNA from 1 species